rnacentral:miRNA from 1 species
UUACAUGAAUAUAUAUAUACACACACACACGGAUUUAUAUAUAUAUACAUAUAUAUAUAUGUGUGUGUGUGUGUGUGUGUGUGUGUGUGUAU